rnacentral:rRNA from 1 species
GACGAACGCUGGCGGCGUGCCUAAUACAUGCAAGUAGAACGCACAGUUUAUACCGUAGCUUGCUACACCAUAGACUGUGAGUUGCGAACGGGUGAGUAACGCGUAGGUAACCUGCCUGGUAGCGGGGGAUAACUAUUGGAAACGAUAGCUAAUACCGCAUAAUAUUAAUUAUUGCAUGAUAAUUAAUUGAAAGUUGCAAUUGCACCACUACCAGAUGGACCUGCGUUGUAUUAGCUAGUAGGUGAGGUAACGGCUCACCUAGGCGACGAUACAUAGCCGACCUGAGAGGGUGAUCGGCCACACUGGGACUGAGACACGGCCCAGACUCCUACGGGAGGCAGCAGUAGGGAAUCUUCGGCAAGGGACGAAAGUCUGACCGAGCAACGCCGCGUGAGUGAAGAAGGUUGUCGGAUCGUAAAGCUCUGUUGUAAGAGAAGAACGGGUGUGAGAGUGGAAAGUUCACACUGUGACGGUAUCUUACCAGAAAGGGACGGCUAACUACGUG